CAGCUCAUGAGGAUGAGAACCUCCGGGGGCAGGGAGGUUCGACUCGAGCGAAGCGAGAGAACGUUGCGCCAGCAACGGCCCGCAGGGCGAGCCACGAAGUGGCGAGUAAUCCUCUAUCACCGACCA
rnacentral:sRNA from 1 species